UACGUAGGGUGCGAGCGUUAAUCGGAAUUACUGGGCGUAAAGCGUGCGCAGGCGGUUUUGUAAGCCAGGUGUGAAAUCCCCGGGCUCAACCUGGGAAUGGCAUUUGGGACUGCAAGGCUUGAGUGCGGCAGAGGAGACUGGAAUUCCUGGUGUAGCAGUGAAAUGCGUAGAUAUCAGGAGGAAUACCGAUGGCGAAGGCAGGUCUCUGGGCUGACACUGACGCUCAGGCACGAAAGCGUGGGGAGCAAACAGG
rnacentral:rRNA from 1 species